rnacentral:rRNA from 1 species
AUUGAACGCUGGCGGCAGGCUUAACACAUGCCAGUCGAGCGAGCGGCGGACGGGUGAGUAAUGUCUGGGAAACUGCCUGAUGGAGGGGGAUAACUACUGGAAAAGGUAUCUAAUACCGCAUACCAUCAUAUGAGCCCUGCUGGGGUGAGCUAGUAGGUGGGGAAAUGGCCCACCUAGGCGACGACCCCUAGCGGGUCGGAGAGGAAGACCAGCAACACUGGAACUGAGACACGGUCCAGACUACUACGGUAGGCAGCAGUGGGGAAUAUUGCAAAAUGGGGGCAAGCCUGAUGCAGCCAUGCCGCGUGUGUGAAGAAGGCCUUCGGGUUGUAAAGCACUUUCAGCGAGGAGGCGUUACUCGCAGAAGAAGAACCGGCUAACUCCGUGCCAGCCGCCGCGGUAAUAC